UUGAGAUCAUAUUUGUUUAUAUUUCUUGGAUCUUAUCUUGUUACCAAUCAUCUAUCUUCUUAUUUGCUUAUAUUAUAAAAGUUUGUGUAUUCUUAAUGUUAUAGAUCACUAGUUCCUUGUGGAUUUGAUCCUAAGUGUUACAUCGAUAUAUCAUUCGAUUGUGGUAGUGUGCACAUUAGGUUACUUUGUCUGUGGUAAAACACAUAAAUCAUUUGGGUAGUCUAUAAACACAACUAAAGACAUCUUCAACCCAUAAGACCACUUUGAUGCGAAAACCACACCGUAUUGGUGUAGUUUUAGUACUAAAAGAAUUUAUUCUUCAACCACAAUACCAAUUUUACACGAGAACUAUAUUUUAAAAUUUUAUAUUAUUCAAUUAAUUUUUUUACUAUUAUUAAAUAUAUGUAAUAAAUAAAAUUUAUUAUGUAAUUAUACUCACAAAGAUAUA
rnacentral:lncRNA from 1 species